GACGAACGCUGGCGGCGUGCUUAACACAUGCAAGUCGAACGGAAAGGCCCUGCUUUUGUGGGGUGCUCGAGUGGCGAACGGGUGAGUAACACGUGAGUAACCUGCCCUUGACUUUGGGAUAACUUCAGGAAACUGGGGCUAAUACCGGAUAGGAGCUCCUGCUGCAUGGUGGGGGUUGGAAAGUUUCGGCGGUUGGGGAUGGACUCGCGGCUUAUCAGCUUGUUGGUGGGGUAGUGGCUUACCAAGGCUUUGACGGGUAGCCGGCCUGAGAGGGUGACCGGCCACAUUGGGAUUGAGAUACGGCCCAGACUACUACGGGAGGCAGCAGGGGGGAAUAUUGCACAAUGGGCGGAAGCCGGAUGCAGCAACGCCGCGUGCGGGAUGACGGCCUUCGGGUUGUAAACCGCUUUCGCCUGUGACGAAGCGUGAGUGACGGUAAUGGGUAAAGAAGCACCGGCUAACUACGUG
rnacentral:rRNA from 1 species